rnacentral:rRNA from 1 species
GUAACCCGCGAGGGUGCACUCUAGGGGGACUGGCCUCCGUCAAGGAGGAGGAAGGUGGGGAUAACGUCAAGUCAUCAUGGUCCUUAUGCCCAGGGCUACACACGUCCUACAGUGGCCGUUACAAUGGGAAGCUACAUCGCGAGGUGAUGCCAAUCCUGUAAAAGCGGCCAUGGUUCGGAUUGCAGGCUGCAACUCGCCUGCAUGAAGAUGGAAUCGCUAGUAAUCGCAGGUCAGCAUACUGCGGUGAAUACGUUCCCGGGCCUU